UACGGAGGGGGCUAGCGUUGUUCGGAUUUACUGGGCGUAAAGCGCGCGUAGGCGGACCUGCAAGUCGGGGGUGAAAGCCCGAGGCUCAACCUCGGAACUGCCUUCGAUACUGCGGGUCUCGAGUCCGGGAGAGGUGAGUGGAAUUCCUAGUGUAGAGGUGAAAUUCGUAGAUAUUAGGAAGAACACCAGUGGCGAAGGCGGCUCACUGGCCCGGUACUGACGCUGAGACACGAAAGCGUGGGGAGCAAACGGG
rnacentral:rRNA from 1 species